rnacentral:rRNA from 1 species
AUUGCCCUAGUAACGGCGAGUGAAGCGGCAACAGCUCAAAUUUGAAAUCUGGCUCUCUUUGGGGGUCCGAGUUGUAAUUUGCAGAGGAUGCUUUGGCAUUGGCAGCGGUCUAAGUUCCUUGGAACAGGACAUCACAGAGGGUGAGAAUCCCGUACGUGGUCGCUUGCCUUUGCCGUGUAAAGCUCCUUCGACGAGUCGAGUUGUUUGGGAAUGCAGCUCUAAAUGGGAGGUAAAUUUCUUCUAAAGCUAAAUACUGGCCAGAGACCGAUAGCGCACAAGUAGAGUGAUCGAAAGAUGAAAAGUACUUUGGAAAGAGAGUCAAAAAGCACGUGAAAUUGUUGAAAGGGAAGCGCUUGCAGCCAGACUUGCCCGCAGUUGCUCACCUAGGCUUUCGCCUGGGGCACUCUUCUGCGGGCAGGCCAGCAUCAGUUUGGGCGGUUGGAUAAAGGCCUCUGUCACGUAUCUUCCUUCGGGAUGACCUUAUAGGGGAGGCGUAAUGCAACCAGCCCGGACUGAGGUCCGCGCAUCUGCUAGGAUGCUGGCGUAAUGGCUGUAAGCGGCCCGUCUUGAAACACGGACCAAGGAGUCUAACAUCUAUGCGAGUGUUUGGGUGUCAAGCCCGAGCGCGUAAUGAAAGUGAACGGAGGUGGGAACCUUUUAGGUGCACCAUCGACCGAUCCUGAUGUCUUCGGAUGGAUUUGAGUAAGAGCAUAGCUGUUGGGACCCGAAAGAUGGUGAACUAUGCUUGAAUAGGGUGAAGCCAGAGGAAACUCUGGUGGAGGCUCGCAGCGGUUCUGACGUGCAAAUCGAUCGUCAAAUUUGGGCAUAGGGGCGAAAGACUAAUCGAACCAU